GACGAACGCUGGCGGCGUGCUUAACACAUGCAAGUCGAACGAGACGAUUGAAAGCUUGCUUUUGAAAGUCGAGUGGCAAACGGGUGAGUAACGCGUAGGCAACCUGCCUCUAGGAUGGGGACAACAGUCCGAAAGGACUGCUAAUACCGAAUGUUGUAUCAAUUCCGCAUGGAGUUGGUAUGAAAGAUGGCCUCUACUUGUAAGCUAUCGCUUUGCGAUGGGUCUGCGUCUGAUUAGCUAGUUGGUGGGGCAACGGCCUACCAAGGCGACGAUCAGUAGCCGGUCUGAGAGGAUGAACGGCCACAUUGGAACUGAGACACGGUCCAGACUCCUACGGGAGGCAGCAGUGGGGAAUAUUGCACAAUGGGGGGGAACCCUGAUGCAGCGACGCCGCGUGGAGGAAGAAGGUCUUCGGAUUGUAAACUCCUGUCGUUGAGGACGAUAAUGACGGUACUCAACAAGAAAGCCACGGCUAACUACGUGCCAGCAGCCG
rnacentral:rRNA from 1 species